rnacentral:rRNA from 1 species
UACGAAGGGUGCAAGCGUUACUCGGAAUUACUGGGCGUAAAGCGUGCGUAGGCGGUUUGUUAAGUCUGUCGUGAAAGCCCCGGGCUCAACCUGGGAAUGGCGGUGGAUACUGGCAGGCUAGAGUACGGUAGAGGAUGGUGGAAUUCCCGGUGUAGCAGUGAAAUGCGUAGAGAUCGGGAGGAACAUCUAUGGCGAAGGCAGCCAUCUGGACCAGUACUGACGCUGAGGCACGAAAGCGUGGGGAGCAAAC